rnacentral:rRNA from 1 species
ACUCAAAGGAAUAGACGGGGACCCGCACAAGCGGUGGAUUAUGUUGUUUAAUUCGAUGCUACGCGAGAAACCUUACCGACCCUUGACAUCCCCAACGCGAUUUCCAGAGAUGGAUUUCUUCAAUUCGGUUGGUUGGGUGACAGAUGCUGCAUGGCUGUCGUCAGCUCGUGUCGUGAGAUGUUAGGUUAAGUCCUGCAACGAGCGCAACCCACGCCAAAUGUUGCCAGCGGGUAAUGCCGGGAACUCUUUUGGGACUGCCUACGUCAAGUAGGAGGAAGGUGUGGAUGAUGUCAAGUCAUCAUGGUUCUUACGGGUCGGGCUACAAACGUAAUACAAUGGCGUUAACAGUGGGUCGCAAUACAGCAAUGUAAAGCCAAUCCUCAAAUAACGCCCCAGUUCAGAUUGUCCUCUGCAACUCGAGGGCAUGAAGUCGGAAUCGCUAGUAAUCGCUGAUCAGAAUGCAGCGGUGAAUACGUUCCCGGGUCUUGUACACACCGCCCGU